rnacentral:sRNA from 1 species
GAUACCAGGGUACCAAAGUCUUUACCCACCUGAGCUUGCUCAAAGGUGGGUAAAUGACCUUGGGACCCGCCAAAAUAUGAGCAUAAAAGUGGGACGACAGUCCCACGAUAUGCGAAUAUUUUGUAGGAUUGCGAGAGCACGCAGUGCGUAGCAAUCCGUAGGUAUC